UACGGAGGGUGCAAGCGUUAUCCGGAUUCACUGGGUUUAAAGGGUGCGUAGGCGGGUAGGUAAGUCAGUGGUGAAAUCUUCGAGCUUAACUCGGAAACUGCCGUUGAUACUAUCUAUCUUGAAUACCGUGGAGGUGAGCGGAAUAUGUCAUGUAGCGGUGAAAUGCUUAGAUAUGACAUAGAACACCAAUUGCGAAGGCAGCUCGCUACACGAAUAUUGACGCUGAGGCACGAAAGCGUGGGGAUCAAACAGG
rnacentral:rRNA from 1 species